rnacentral:sRNA from 1 species
GCCGGGCAUGGUGGCGCACGCCUGUAAUCCCAGUGGCUCAGGAGGCUAAGGCAGCAGGAUCACAAGUUCAAAGCCAACCUCAGCAAAAAGCAAGGCACUAAGCAACUCAGUGAGACCCUGUCUCUA